rnacentral:rRNA from 1 species
AUUGAACGCUGGCGGCAUGCUUUACACAUGCAAGUCGAACGGUAACAGGGAGCUUGCUCCGCUGACGAGUGGCGAACGGGUGAGUAAUGCGUCGGAACGUGCCGAGUAGUGGGGGAUAACGCAUCGAAAGGUGUGCUAAUACCGCAUACGUACUGAGGUAGAAAGUGGGGGACCUUCGGGCCUCACGCUAUUCGAGCGGCCGACGUCUGAUUAGCUAGUUGGUGAGGUAAAGGCUCACCAAGGCGACGAUCAGUAGCGGGUCUGAGAGGAUGAUCCGCCACACGGGGACUGAGACACGGCCCAGACUCCGACGGGAGGCAGCAGUGGGGAAUUUUGGACAAUGGGCGCAAGCCUGAUCCAGCCAUGCCGCGUGUCUGAAGAAGGCCUUCGGGUUGUAAAGGACUUUUGUCCGGGAGCAAAUGCCUGGUGUUAAUAGCACUGGGAGCUGAGAGUACCGGAAGAAUAAGCACCGGCUAACUACGUGCCAGCCGCCGCAGUAACAC